rnacentral:misc_RNA from 1 species
CACCACUCAAGCCUCGCUUGGUAUUGGGCAUCGCGGUCCGCCGCGUGCCUCAAAUCGACCGGCUGGGUCUUUCGUCCCCUCAGCGUUGUGGAAACUAUUCGCUAAAGGGUGUUCGGGAGGCUACGCCGUAAAACAACCCCAUUUCUAA